rnacentral:rRNA from 1 species
UCAUGGCUCAGAUUGAACGCUGGCGGUAGGCUUAACACAUGCAAGUCGAGCGGAAACGAUUCUAGCUUGCUAGAAGGCGUCGAGCGGCGGACGGGUGAGUAAUGCGUGGGAAUCUACCCAGUAGUUGGGGAUAGCCCGGAGAAAUCCGGAUUAAUACCGAAUAAUCUCUACGGAGGAAAGUGGGCUUCGGCUCACGCUACAGGAUGAGCCUGCGUUGGAUUAGCUAGUUGGUGAGGUAAGAGCUCACCAAGGCGACGAUCCAUAGCUGGUCUGAGAGGAUGAUCAGCCACACUGGGACUGAGACACGGCCCAGACUCCUACGGGAGGCAGCAGUGGGGAAUAUUGGACAAUGGGGGCAACCCUGAUCCAGCCAUACCGCGUGUGUGAAGAAGGCCUUCGGGUUGUAAAGCACUUUCAGCGAGGAGGAAAGGUUGUUGGUUAAUACCCAUCAACUGUGACGUUACUCGCAGAAGAAGCACCGGCUAA